AUUGUUCCUGUGGCCUAUAGAAGGUAUACAUUUUGUUCUUGCUUUUGAGCUCCAAUUUUGGUCUUCUGAGGCUAAUCUCAGCUUUUUCUGCUAAUUGGGUGUGUAAUGAAGAUCAGUGGGUUAGAAAGUCUUGAUCUUAGAUCUUGGGCGUUUAAUGAAUUUAUUUUUUGUGAAUGGGUUUUUUUAGGGUACCCUGUAGGAGGAGAGGA
rnacentral:misc_RNA from 1 species